AUUACCCAAUCGUGACACACGGAGGUAGUGACAAGAAAUAACAAUGCAUGCCCGCUGGGUCUUUGUAUUUGGAAUGAGUAGAAUUUAAAUCUCUUUACGAAUCAAUUGGAGGGCAAGUCUGGUGCCAGCAGCCGCGGUAAUUCCAGCUCCAAUAACGUAUAUUAAAGUUGUUGCGGUUAAAAAGCUCGUAGUUGGAUUUCUGUCGGAAUUGCUUGGUCCCCACUCUGUGGGCGCAUCUAAGUCGAUUCUGGCAUCCUCCUAUUUUUCGUUUGCUGCACUUAAUUGGGUGGCUUUCGGAGUAGGACUUUUACUUUGAGGAAAUUCGAGUGUUUACGGCAGGCAAUCGCCUUGUAGAUAUUAGCAUGGAAUAAUAAUAUAGGACCUUGGUUCUAUUUUGUUGGUUUCUAGGACUGAGGUAAUGAUUAAUAGGGAUAUUUGGGGGCAUUCGUAUUAACCGGUCAGAGGUGGAAUUCUUGGAUUCGGUUACGACGAACUACUGCGAAAGCAUUUGCCAAGAAUGUUUUCAUUGAUCAAGAACGAAAGUGUGGGGAUCGAAGAUGAUUAGAUACCGUCGUAGUCUACACCAUAAACUAUGCCGACUAGAGAUUGGAGGUUGUCUUCUCAUAACUCCUUCAGCACCUUACGAGAAAUCAAAGUUUUUGGGUUCCGGGGGGAGUAUGGUCGCAAGGCUGGAACUUAAAGGAAUUGACGGAAGGGCACCACCAGGAGUGG
rnacentral:rRNA from 1 species